AGCAGCCGCGGUAACACCGGCGGCCCGAGUGGUGAUCGUGAGUAUUGGGUCUAAAGGGUCCGUAGCCGGUUGGUCAGUCCUCCGGGAAAUCUGAUAGCUCGAACUAUUAGGGCUUUCGGGGGAUACUGCCAGACUUGGAACCGGGAGAGGUAAGAGGUACUACAGGGGUAGGAGUGAAAUCUUGUAAUCCCUGUGGGACCACCUGUGGCGAAGGCGUCUUACCAGAACGGGUUCGACGGUGAGGGACGAAAGCUGGGGGCACGAACCGGAUUAGAUACCCGGGUAGUCCCAGCCGUAAACGAUGCUCGCUAGGUGUCAGGCAUGGCGCGACCGUGUCUGGUGCCGCAGGGAAGCCGUGAAGCGAGCCACCUGGGAAGUACGGCCGCAAGGCUGAAACUUAAAGGAAUUGGCGGGGGAGCACAACAACGGGUGGAGCCCUGCGGUUUAAUUGGACUCAACGCCGGACAACUCACCGGGGGCGACAGCAAUAUGUAGGCCAAGCUGAAGACUUUGCCUGAAUCGCUGAGAAGAGGUGCAUGG
rnacentral:rRNA from 1 species